GGAGCCCAGCAGCGAGAUGUCCUUCUUCCACGCGGCCUCGCGGCCGCGUUCGUCGUAGCAGGACCUCGUGCGCUCCAUCAAGGACUCCCUCCUCGCGCUCGACACCAUGACCGGCGCCAAGGGUUUCGAGGGUGGCGUCCCCUCCAACUCCAGCGCGGCGCCGGCGAUUCUUCUCCGCCCUGAUGAACAACGCGGUGCACAACGCGGUGCUCUUCGACCAGGCCACCUACGCAGAUCACGCCCUCCGUCCUCUCCGAGCGCCUCAGGUAGCAGCAUGGGCGAGUUGAGGUGGGGGACAGAGAGGCUGUGUCGUGCGGGUUCUGAUCAUGGGAUAGCAGCACACUUUCCAGCAUCGAUCUGAGCAAACGAUGAUGCAAGGCUGCACCUCCUUGUACUGCAUGUCUUCAUCGACUUGAAUCUUUGACAGGGAGAUAUUUAAAGCCUUCACUUGUUCAUUGUGUCAUCUGCUGAUUACUUUUUCUAUUAUUUUCUUGCAAAGCAUGUAAUGGUUUGGAGUAGUUGAUCAUGGCCUGAUGGAACAUUCAUGUUGUUAGCAUCUCUAUAUCUACACUAUUACAGCAGCUUGUUGAUCAAGCGCUUCUUUCUAUCUAAAUGUGUGCACAGAAGUUCAGUUACCUUCUAAAAAAUUAUUGGUGCACUAUCUAUAUAUAUAUAUACACUAUUACAGCAGCUUGUUGAUCAAGCGCUUCUUUCUAUCUAUAUAUAUACACUAUCUAAAUUGUUUGCAACGGCAUUAUGCACAUGAGGCAGGACUAUACAAGUGAAUUGUCACAGUAAGGUCCUUCCAUGGAUUUCAUGUGGCUCCUUGAGUUGUAAGAUGUAGCUCCAACAUUGAAUAUAUUUUGAAUGUUUCCAAAGAUACUCUCUGUUA